CUUUAGCUUAAGCUAUGCCAAGGCCGUCUGUAGCAGCUGACUUCUGCUUUCUGCUGGGUCUUCAAUUCCUGUUUCUCAUACCACAAAAGUGGUUGCUGAUGCUACUUUAGAAAGGGAAGUCAUUUGCCCUUUCAGAUAAAAUGAAGGAAGCCCUGAGGAGGCUGCAGAAUCUUUUCCCAUGGCCUGGCACUGGCUCCUACAGCUCCAUCCUUCAUAGCGCUCCUCCUGGGCCCCAAGGUGCUGCUGGUGGUUUGUGUCUCUGUCAUCUAUGUCCACUGGAAGCAGAAGGCCUGACUAUCUUCAUUGAAAGACUGGAGUUCCUUGAGAACGCCUUGACAGUUUCUUCCUUGGGAAGGUACCUUGCUGCUCCAAGCACAGAUCUGCGAUCUUCCUGAUACGAUUGCAUCGUUUCUGAGUCCUGUAUUCCAAACUGUGAUGUUUUGGAGGCAUGAAAUGUUAUGGCUCACACCUUCCAAGCCAAUUGCUAUUUUCAUGAGAAGAAAUAUUCCUCUUUCAACUGCUGGUAUGUUUUACUUUGAAUUAUAUUUCUUCAGCUAUUAAUAUUUCUUUUUUUGCUUUGUACACAAUACACUUUUAUAUAAAUAUGUAGGUAAACAUAACAUUUUGCACCUUCAAAUUUAUCAUUCAAUAAAGAAGCUUAUUAAAAUCAGCAAAACAUCUUAAAUAUAUUUUAACAAUGUACAUAUGUAUUCACAACAUAAUCUGCUGAUUAAGAGACUCCACCAAGUUUAUACCUACAACACAAUUUACAGAUGCCUACAAUAGUUUGUACAUUUAUUUAGUUUAUAAUAACAUCUAUUGCUUUAAGAAAUAUCGUUCAUACAAAUGCGUGAUAUGUAACAUUCUCAUUAUAGUAAGAAAGAAUAUAGGUUUAUAAAACAAAGUGUCUUUACUCAUUAUGUGAAGUAUGUAAAUGAUUAUUCUCAUUAAAACAUAAGAAUAAUUCAUUUUUAGUCAUAAAACAUAGAUAUCAUUAGGUCAAAGAGCAUUGAAGAGCUCCAGGAGGUUCCAAAGAAAAAUCUGGUUAGCCUUUUACACAAUAAAUACAACAGCACCAAUCUCUUGGUAUUCCUGAAACAUAAACUAUGAUGAUUUCAUUUAUGUUAAUUGGGCCUUAAGUAAAUGACUUCUUACAAAUGAAAAUAAACAAAAUUUUAGAAACUAGAUAGUACCAAUGGCCUAAACUUGGUUUUUACUUGUUUGUGUAUUUCUAAGAAAUUUUACCAUGAAGUACGUAUUAAAAAAUAACAAUUAUUUCUAACUUACCCAUAAGCCAAAGUGCUCACUCAUACCAUGGAAACAAAACUUGCUUCUGAAAAUAAUCUAAAGAAAUAAUCUGUAAACACCUAGAGCUUUGAAAUGGACUAAGAACAUCCUAUGCUCUAUGGAUCAAAUUGCAAAGGCCUUCAUUACAUAUAUCAAUAAACACACUUUGGUUAAUUUGGGAUAUAUUGAUAUUACAUGACCAUGUGCAUACCUCUGUCUACCAUUAACCAAAUGUUGACGUUUAUAGUGACAACACAGUUUUGAGCCCCAAGUGCUGGAAAGAAAAUAAAAACAAUAUGAAAAGUA